rnacentral:rRNA from 1 species
AAGACCUUGCGCUUUUGGAGCGGCCGAUGUCUGAUUAGCUUGUUGGUGAGGUAAAGGCUUACCAAGGCUUCGAUCAGUAGCUGGUCUGAGAGGACGGCCAGCCACACUGGGACUGAGACACGGCCCAGACUCCUACGGGAGGCAGCAGUGGGGAAUUUUGGACGAUGGGGGCAACCCUGAUCCAGCCAUGCCGCGUGAGUGAAGAAGGCCUUCGGGUUGUAAAGCUCUUUCAGCCGGAACGAAACGGUUACGGUUAAUACCCGUGAUUACUGACGGUACCGGAAGAAGAAGCACCGGCUAACUACGUGCCAGCAGCCGCGGUAAUACGUAGGGUGCGAGCGUUAAUCGGAAUUACUGGGCGUAAAGCGUGCGCAGGUGGUUUUGUAAGUCAGAUGUGAAAGCCCCGGGCUCAACCUGGGAACU